GAUUUCANAANGAAGCGAGUGGCGAACUGGUGAGUAACACGUGGGGAAUCUGCCCAGAAGCAGGGGAUAACACUUGGAAACAGGUGCUAAUACCGUAUAACAANAAAAUCCGCAUGGANUUUGUUUGAAAGGNGGCUUCGGCUAUCACUUCUGGAUGAUCCCGCGGNGUAUUAGUUAGUUGGUGAGGUAAAGGCCCACCAAGACGAUGAUACGUAGCCGACCUGAGAGGGUAAUCGGCCACAUUGGGACUGAGACACGGCCCAAACUNCUACGGGAGGCAGCAGUAGGGAAUCUUCCACAAUGGACGAAAGUCUGAUGGAGCAAUGCCGCGUGAGUGAAGAAGGGUUUCGGCUCGUAAAACUCUGUUGUUAAAGAAGAACACCUUUGAGAGUAACUGUUCAAGGGUUGACGGUAUUUAACCAGAAAGCCACGGCUAACUACGUGCCAGCAGCCGCGGUAAUACGUAGGUGGCAAGCGUUGUCCGGAUUUAUUGGGCGUAAAGCGAGCGCAGGCGGUUUUUUAAGUCUGAUGUGAAAGCCUUCGGCUUAACCGGAGAAGUGCAUCGGAAACUGGGAGACUUGAGUGCAGAAGAGGACAGUGGAACUCCAUGUGUAGCGGUGGAAUGCGUAGAUAUAUGGAAGAACACCAGUGGCGAAGGCGGCUGUCUAGUCUGUAACUGACGNUGAGGCUCGAAAGCAUGGGUAGCGAACAGGAUUAGAUACCCUGGUAGUCCAUGCCGUAAACGAUGAGUGCUAAGUGUUGGAGGGUUUCCGCCCUUCANUGCUGCAGCUAACGCAUUAAGCACUCCGCCUGGGGAGUACGACCGCAAGGUUGAAACUCAAAGGAAUUGACGGGGGCCCGCACAAGCGGUGGAGCAUGUGGUUUAAUUCGAANCUACGCGAANAACCUUACCAGGUCUUGACAUCUUCUGCCAAUCUUANAGAUAAGACGUUCCCUUCGGGGACAGAAUGACAGGUGGUGCAUGGUUGUCGUCAGCUCGUGUCCGUGAG
rnacentral:rRNA from 1 species